ensembl:snRNA
AAAAAGGGCUUCUGCUGUGAUUAGCACAUGGAGAGGGGUGGCUGCGGCUCGCUUCUUUCCGUGCGGAAUCGCUAUCAAGAGAUUUCGGAAGCAUAAUUUUUGCGAAUGGGGGUAGCUGUUAAUCGCUUGUUCUGGCUCCCCG